rnacentral:rRNA from 1 species
ACGAACGCUGGCGGCGUGCUUAACACAUGCAAGUCGAGCGGAAAGGCCCCUUUGGGGGUACUCGAGCGGCGAACGGGUGAGUAUCACGUGAGUAAUCUGCCCUUCACUUCGGGAUAGCUUCGGGAAACCGAAAUUAAUACCGGAUAUGACGCGUCUGGGCAUCCAGUGCGCGUGGAAAGAUUUUUUGGUGGGGGAUGUGCUCGCGGCCUAUCAGCUUGUUGGUGGGGUAAUGGCCUACCAAGGCUUCGACGGGUAGCCGGCCUGAGAGGGUGACCGGCCACACUGGGACUGAGACACGGCCCAGACUCCUACGGGAGGCAGCAGUGGGGAAUAUUGGACAAUGGGCGGAAGCCUGAUCCAGCAACGCCGCGUGAGGGAUGACGGCCUUCGGGUUGUAAACCUCUUUCACCUCGGACGAAGCGCAAGUGACGGUACGAGGGGAAGAAGCACCGGCCAACUACGU